rnacentral:rRNA from 1 species
CAGGGGAUAUUGCGCAAUGGACGGAAGUCUGACGCAGCGACGCCGCGUGGAUGAUGAAGGCCUUCGGGUUGUAAAAUCCUUUUCAGGGGGAAGAGCGAGGACGGUACCCCUGGAAUAAGCGUCGGCUAACUACGUGCCAGCAGCCGCGGUAAGACGUAAGACGCGAGCGUUAUCCGGAUUUACUGGGCGUAAAGCGUCUGUAGGCGGAAGUGUAAGUUGGACGUGAAAGCUCCGGGCUCAACUCGGAGAGGCCGUUCAAUACUGCACAACUAGAGGCCAUCAGAGGGGCGUGGAAUUUCCGGUGUAGCGGUAAAAUGCGCAGAUAUCGGAAGGAACACCAGUGGCGAAGGCGGCGCCCUGGGGUGGGCCUGACGCUAAGAGACGAAAGCUAGGGGAGC